AUAGUGUUAGUGUAAAAUUAUAGAUUUUUUUUUUUGAAAGAAAGAUAGUAUACUGUCCACUUCAUUUAUUUUUUUAAAAAAUAAAUUUAACUGAAAAUAUGAAGCAAUAAAAUUAAAAGUGCCGUUUAGUUGUAUAUAGUUAUAAAUACAUGGCAGUUGUAAGUUAUAACUGUAUAUAAAUAUAAAUUUGGUGUUUGGUUUGAUAUAUUUAACCCCAACGGCUAUAGUAAAAAUUACAGGAGAAGGUCCAACUGUAACAGUUGGAACUACGCCCAAAUUGAUCGCAGUUCCAACUGCAACAGUUGAAGAGUGCAACUUUAAACAAAAAAUAACCUUACCUCUUUAAACAUUUUUAAACAAAAAUAAAUUUUUUUUUUACAUUGAAGGUAAUUUCACCAUGAUGUAUAUAAAAUGAUACAAUUUUAAAAAUUAUUUCUUAACUGCAUACAACCAAACAAAUUAUUUAUAGUUACAACGCUUUCUACUAUAUUCAACCAAACACGAUGUAUAUAGUUAUAACCAUUGUAUUUUCAACUAUAUACAUCUCUAACUAUACUGUAUUUAUAAAUAUAUCUAAUUAAACGAUUUUCCAAAUUUUGAAUCUAAAACCUUAUAUAUACUAAUUACUAAAUUUUUUACCAUUUACACUAGGUACGAACAAUAAUUUCAGGUUGUUUCCCUAUCGAGUUAAAGGGGAUGGGACAGGACUAAGCAAUUUAAAGUUGGGUGUCCUUUGGGGCCCAUUACAUUGGUUGAAUUUUGGUUCGCUUCCAACAAAAAACAUGGAAUAUAAAACUCUAGUUGUUGCUUGUCAGGGCAUUAAUUUCGGCGUUUCUUUUUGCCUCCCUGGGUGAGGAAAAAUUCUAAAAUGCAACGGGUAUAUUAGUGACGUGGCGUAACAAAUCAAUCAAAUUAAUUCUUUUAAGAAUAUAUGUCCCAUCAUGAUUGUAAAAAAAUAUUUUUAUUGUACUUUUGUUUGAAAAGAAGGAAUGUGAUUGGCUUGUUAUUGAUGACGUGGUGCAAGUGUGACAGUGUAGAAUUUCUUCUGGGUGAGCGAUGUCACAAGGAAAAU
rnacentral:lncRNA from 1 species